ACCAGAUCUUGAUCUGGCGCUCGGACAGGCAGAGUGCGUGGGCGAUCUCGAUGCGCCGUCGCCGGGUCAGGUUGCUUGUCUGGAGAUGGAGCCACUACAGGCGGGCCUGGGCGCCUGGAGUCGGGCAUGAAAGAAAAUAGCGCCUCAUCGCUCUUAUCUAAGCCCAGAGGUAGACUUCGCUUGAAAAGAUCGAGAAUGGAGGAGGGGAUCGGCACUCACUUGCAGACAUCAACAGUUUCCAGAAAAUUCGGUUCAAUUCCUUCACCACGGACCCACCAACCAAGGAGCUGGCAAAACCCACUAACCAACCAGGAGAACACAGACCCGGUUUGUCUUUUGACAACCGAGUGGAACUGACGGGGCCGGCGCCUGCCCUGCGGGUCCCCUCCCUUGGCUGAGAAGAAAACCAAAUAAACCUUGAACAGCCUUGGCUUCGGAUGUCUCAAGCGGCCUCAUCCUCUCCCGCGCCUUGGUGGGGUGGGGGUGGGGAUGGCGGUGGGGGUGUCGGCUCUGAUCCCUCCACCCUUUGAUUCAGGGCCCCUGCCCGCUGGAAGCAGAAUUAGACCUUUUUAUAUAUGCCCUAGAGGAAGCCGCUUCCCUUGCCAGCCGCCAGCCGUUUCCUCUCCCUCGCCGGCCUCGGCGGAGAUUCCAGGCCCUAUAGAAACCAGGACGUCCCUUAGCGCCACCGCCUCACAUGCCAGUGCUGCCGGGAACCCAGCGAUAUCCGCACCAGCGGAGAAGGUUCCAGGCUGCCGGCGGCGGCGCAGAGAGCGGGAAGAGAGGCUCGGAGGAAGCCCCGGGCGUGGCGUGGUCAGGCUCCGAGAGCGGCCGGGAUGCGGCCACACCGGCCUGGUAAACUCGCACCUCUUAGGAUCUUGCUCCCGGACUCAUUCCCUUCCCCACCCCCUAUUUUAAAGUUUUAUUUGGGUCGUCUGUAUCAAUUUAGAACGAGAUAAAUUAAGACAAAGAAAGUAAAAUAAAUCGAAAUAAAAUAUAGGAAUAGCUCUUGGCGAAAAUGUUUGCCGUGCGAGCAGGAAGCCGUGAGCGCCCUAGUUGGAGGCUGCUCUGCGCCGACUAAGAGGCCUCUACUCCCAGGCCUGGCCUCUACGCAACGCCACCCAAGAAGCCAGAGUGAAUUUGGGUGUUCAUUUUCCCUUUCCUUCCGCUCUUCCUUCAUGUGGGGCCUAGCAGCUUGGAUUUCAGCUCCGUCUUUGUGCCUGGGCUGCAGCCCAGAUCCAGAUCCCGCAGCUUGGUUUCCAGGCCUGAAUGAGGACGCGGGUUUGUGAAACUGUGAGGUUUUUGUUUUGUUGUUUUGUGAGCUUGUGUGACUAAGCAUGUGGGCUUCUGAGUGCGUUUACUUGGGGGCAAAUGUGAAUCUGUGUUUAUAAGCCAAUGUGUGAAUGUACGUUGGUAUCAAUGUGUCUGUGAGUGUGAAUGUGUGUUUACUUGUGAGCGUGUGUGAACAUGAAUGCCUA
rnacentral:lncRNA from 1 species